UACGUAGGUGGCGAGCGUUGUCCGGAUUUACUGGGCGUAAAGAGCGCGCAGGCGGUCGGAUUAGUCGAGUGUGAAAGCCCCCGGCUCAACUGGGGAGGGUCACUCGAUACUGUUCGACUCGAAGACGGGAGAGGGACGCGGAAUUCCCGGUGUAGUGGUGAAAUGCGUAGAUAUCGGGAGGAACACCAGUGGCGAAGGCGGCGUUCUGGCCCGCUCUUGACGCUGAGGCGCGAAAGCCAGGGGAG
rnacentral:rRNA from 1 species